rnacentral:rRNA from 1 species
UACGGGGGGGGCAAGCGGUUGUUCGGAAUUACUGGGCGUAAAGGGCGUGUAGGCGGCCAACUAAGUCCGACGUGAAAUCCCCAGGCCUUAACCUGGGAACUGCGUCGGAUACUGGAUGGCUUGAAUUCGGGAGAGGGAUGCGGAAUUCCAGGUGUAGCGGUGAAAUGCGUAGAUAUCUGGAGGAACACCGGUGGCGAAGGCGGCAUCCUGGACCAAUACUGACGCUGAGGUGCGAAAGCGUGGGGAGCAAACAGG